rnacentral:rRNA from 1 species
AAACCAGCACCUCAAGUGGUCAGGAGGAUUAUUGGGCCUAAAGCAUCCGUAGCCUGCUCUGUAAGUUUUCGGUUAAAUCUGUACGCUCAACGUACAGGCUGCCGGGAAUACUGCAGAGCUAGGGAGUGGGAGAGGUAGACGGUACUCGGGAGGAAGUGGUAAAAUGCUUUGAUCUCUCGAUGACCACCUGUGGCGAAGGCGGUCUACCAGAACACGUCCGACGGUGAGGGAUGAAAGCUGGGGGAGCAAACCGGAUUAGAAACCCGGGUAGUCC